ACAUAAUAAUUCCGAUUCGAGUGGAUUGAUCAAAAUGUAAUCGCGUAACUAUGUUAUUGUGGGGCUCGGACACUUUUUCCGAAAAUUAGAAUCAAUAUUAUCAUAAUUCCCAUUUAGGUUUGUUGUUUUUAGCGAGGGAGGAGGGAGGGAGGGGAGCACAGUAGACAGCACAGUCGAUUUUCAAAACGUUCACUGGGUGAUUUUCAAUGAAAUCGGAUGGAAUGAGUGAAUCGGCGGACGU